rnacentral:snoRNA from 1 species
ACCCAUGAUUUUUUUUAUCAUGGAAUCUCGUUCGGCUGACAAUUGCUGUUGAGCCUUUAAUGAUCUGAUGCUG